rnacentral:rRNA from 1 species
AGAGUUUGAUCAUGGCUCAGGAUCAACGCUGGCGGCGUGCCUAACGCAUGUAAGUCGAACGCACACCUUUCGAGGUGUGAGUGGCGAACGGCUGAGGAACACGUACGAACCUGCCUGUUUGUGGGGAAUAACGCACCGAAAGGCGUGCUAAUACCGCGUACGCUUGCCGUGGCAAGGAAAGCCCUUCGGGGUGCGGGGAGAGGAGCGCGCGGCCCAUCAGGUAGAUGGCGGGGUAAUGGCCCACCAUGCCGGUGACGGGUCGCUGGUCUGUGAGGAUGACCAGCCAGACUGGGACUGCGACACGGCCCAGACACCUACGGGUGGCAGCAGCAAGGAAUCUUCGGCAAUGGGCGCAAGCCUGACCGAGCAACGCCGCGUGGAGGACGACGGCCUUCGGGUUGUAAACUCCUUUUCUGUGGGAUGAUACGGACAGUACCGCAGGAAUAAGCCCCGGCUAACUCUGUGCCAGCAGCCGCGGUAAUACAGAGGGGGCAAGCGUUGUCCGGACUUACUGGGCGUACAGCGCGCGCAGGUGGUUGGCUAAGUUCGUGGUGACAGCGUGCGGCUCAACCGCACACGGUCCAGGGAGACUGGCUAACUAGAGGCAUCGAGAGGGAAACGGAAUACCCGGUGGAGCGGUGAAAUGCGUAGAGAUCGGGUGGAACACCAGUGGCGAAGGCGGUUUCCUGGCGAUGACCUGACACUGAGGCGCGACAGCGUGGGGAGCAAACGGGAUUAGAUACCCCGGUAGUCC